AUUGAACGCUGGCGGCAUGCUUUACACAUGCAAGUCGGACGAGUGGCGAACGGGUGAGUAAUAUAUUGGAACGUACCGAGUAAUGGGGGAUAACUAAUCGAAAGAUUAGCUAAUACCGCAUAUUAUUCGAUCUGCCGAUCUCGGAUUAGCUAGUUGGUGGGGUAAAGGCCUACCAAGGCGACGAUCAGUAGCGGGUCUGAGAGGAUGAUCCGCCACACUGGGACUGAGGCACGGCCGAGACUACUACGGGAGGCAGCAGUGGGGAAUUUUGGACAAGGAGCGCAAGCCUGAUCCAGCCAUGCCGCGUGUGGGAAGAAGGCCUUCGGGUUGUAAAGGACUUUUGUCAGAGAAGCGGUACCUGAAGAAUAAGCACCGGCUAACUACGUGCCAGCAGCCGCGGUAAUUC
rnacentral:rRNA from 1 species